AAGAACUGCUGAACAUAGACUGCAAAGAGCCUUCUUUGCUGAGUGUGCUAUGAAAUCAAGUCCUACUGGAAGCUGGAGGUCAGCAUAGCUUCAUGACUUUGCGUCAGACCUUGUCUCGCUUCUGAAGAUUAUCGUACCUUUGAUUCUCCCCAGAGGCCCAGUUGAACAUGUUGGUUUAUUGUCUGAGAGAUCUUGCGGUGCCAAAGAAAAGAGGCCCCUUU